GCGCCCGUAGCUCAGCGGAUAGAGCGCCGGCCUCCGGAGCCGUAGGUCGACCGUUCGAAUCGGUCCGGGCGCGCCA
rnacentral:tRNA from 3 species